rnacentral:rRNA from 1 species
AUUGAACGCUGGCGGCAGGCCUAACACAUGCAAGUCGAGCGGAUGAAGGGAGCUUGCUCCUGGAUUCAGCGGCGGACGGGUGAGUAAUGCCUAGGAAUCUGCCUGGUAGUGGGGGAUAACGUCCGGAAACGGGCGCUAAUACCGCAUACGUCCUGAGGGAGAAAGUGGGGGAUCUUCGGACCUCACGCUAUCAGAUGAGCCUAGGUCGGAUUAGCUAGUUGGUGGGGUAAAGGCCUACCAAGGCGACGAUCCGUAACUGGUCUGAGAGGAUGAUCAGUCACACUGGAACUGAGACACGGUCCAGACUCCUGCGGGAGGCAGCAGUGGGGAAUAUUGGACAACGGGCGAAAGCCUGAUCCAGCCAUGCCGCGUGUGUGAAGAAGGUCUUCGGAUUGUAAAGCACUUUAAGUUGGGAGGAAGGGCAGUAAGUUAAUACCUUGCUGUUUUGACGUUACCAACAGAAUAAGCACCGGCUAACUUCGUG